AGAGUUUGAUCCUGGCUCAGGAUGAACGCUGGCGGCAUGGAUAAGGCAUGCAAGUCGAGUGGGUUUAGACCCACGGCAAACGGGUUAGUAAUACGUAGGAAUGUUCCCUCAAGUCGUGAAUAAUGUGUCGAAAGACACGCUAAUACACGAUGUGCUCUACGGAGUAAAGAUUUAUCGCUUGAGGAGCAGCCUGCGUCCUAUCAGCUAGUUGGUGGGGUAAAAGCCUACCAAGGCUCUGACGGGUAGGGGGUGUGAGAGCAUGGCCCCCAACAUUGGGACUGAGACACUGCCCAAACUCCUACGGGAGGCUGCAGUCGAGAAUAUUCGUCAAUGGGCGAAAGCCUGAACGAGCGAUGCCGCGUGUAGGAUGAAGGCCCUCGGGUCGUAAACUACUUUUCUCAGGGAAGAAUUUCGAUGACGGUACCUGAGGAAUAAGAGGUUACUAACUCUGUGCCAGCAGUAGCGGUAAUACAGAGACCUCAAGCGUUAUCCGGAUUUAUUGGGCGUAAAGCGCAGGUAGGCGGGUUUAUUAGUCGGAUGUCAAAGACCGGGGCUCAACUCCGGGAAGGCAUUCGAAACGGUAUACCUAGAGAAUGUGAGAGAUGAGUGGAAUUCAUGGUGUAGUAGUGAAAUGCGUUGAUAUCAUGAGGAACACCGAAGGCGAAGGCAACUCAUUGGCACAUUUCUGACGCUGAGCUGCGAAAGCGUGGGGAGCGAAUGGGAUUAGAUACCCCAGUAGUCCACGCUGUAAACGAUGCAUACUAGGUGCAGGGAGAAUCGACCCUUUCUGUGCCGUAGCUAACGCGUUAAGUAUGCCGCCUGGGAAGUACGAGCGCAAGCUUAAAACUCAAAGGAAUAGACGGGGAUCCGCACAAGUGGUGGAGCAUGUGGUUUAAUUCGACGGUAAGCGAGGCACCUCACCAGGGUUUGAAAUCUAGCUGCAGGGCCCAGAAAUGGGACGUCCUUCGAGGGUGCUAGACCAGGUGCUGCAUGGUUGUCGUCAGCUCGUGUCGUAAGAUGUUCCGUUCAGUCGGGAAACGAGCGCAACCCUCAUGAAGUGUUACAUGUGUCACUUCAGACUGCCCCCUCAAAAGGGGAGAAUACUCAGUUUGUAUUCUCAAUUUUUGAGGGGGAGGAAGGCGAGGAUGACGUCAAAUCAGCAUGGCCCUUUGACACCCUGGGCGACACACGUGCUACAAUGGCCGAUAAUAAAGGGUUGCCAACCAGCGAUGGGGAGCUAAUCUCAAAAACUCGGUCUCAGUUCGGAUUGCAGGCUGCAACUCGCCUGCAUGAAGCUGGAAUCACUAGUAAUCGUGAAUCAGCCACGUCACGGUGAAUGCGUUCUCGGAUCUUGUACUCACCGCCCGUCACACCAAGAGAGCCGGCAAUACCAGAAGGCCCCGGGUUAAAUCGGGGACGACGGUAGGGUUGGUAAUAAGGGUGAAGUCGUAACAAGGCAUCCGU
rnacentral:rRNA from 1 species